rnacentral:rRNA from 1 species
CGGCGCACGGGUGAGUAACGCGUAUCCAACCUGCCCACCACUUGGGGAUAACCUUGCGAAAGUAAGACUAAUACCCAAUGAUAUCUCUAGAAGACAUCUGAAAGAGAUUAAAGAUUUAUCGGUGAUGGAUGGGGAUGCGUCUGAUUAGCUUGUUGGCGGGGUAACGGCCCACCAAGGCAACGAUCAGUAGGGGUUCUGAGAGGAAGGUCCCCCACAUUGGAACUGAGACACGGUCCAAACUCCUACGGGAGGCAGCAGUGAGGAAUAUUGGUCAAUGGACGAGAGUCUGAACCAGCCAAGUAGCGUGCAGGAAGACGGCCCUAUGGGUUGUAAACUGCUUUUAUAAGGGAAUAAAGUUAGUCUCGUGAGACUUUUUGCAUGUACCUUAUGAAUAAGGACCGGCUAAUUCCGUGCCAGCAGCCGCGGUAAUACGGAAGGUCCGGGCGUUAUCCGGAUUUAUUGGGUUUAAAGGGAGCGUAGGCCGGAGAUUAAGCGUGUUGUGAAAUGUAGACGCUCAACGUCUGCACUGCAGCGCGAACUGGUUUCCUUGAGUACGCACAAAGUGGGCGGAAUUCGUGGUGUAGCGGUGAAAUGCUUAGAUAUCACGAAGAACUCCGAUUGCGAAGGCAGCUCACUGGAGCGCAACUGACGCUGAAGCUCGAAAGUGCGGGUAUCGAACAGGAUUAGAUACCCUGGUAGUCCGCACGGUAAACGAUGGAUGCCCGCUGUUGGUCUGAAUAGGUCAGCGGCCAAGCGAAAGCAUUAAGCAUCCCACCUGGGGAGUACGCCGGCAACGGUGAAACUCAAAGGAAUUGACGGGGGCCCGCACAAGCGGAGGAACAUGUGGUUUAAUUCGAUGAUACGCGAGGAACCUUACCCGGGCUUGAAUUGCAGAGGAAGGAUUUGGAGACAAUGACGCCCUUCGGGGUCUCUGUGAAGGUGCUGCAUGGUUGUCGUCAGCUCGU